AACGAACGCUGGCGGCAUGCCUAACACAUGCAAGUCGAACGAGACCUUCGGGUCUAGUGGCGCACGGGUGCGUAACGCGUGGGAACCUGCCCUUAGGUUCGGAAUAACUCCCCGAAAGGGGUGCUAAUACCGGAUAAUGUCUUCGGACCAAAGAUUUAUCGCCUUUGGAUGGGCCCGCGUUGGAUUAGCUAGUUGGUAGGGUAAAAGCCUACCAAGGCGACGAUCCAUAGCUGGUCUGAGAGGAUGAUCAGCCACACUGGGACUGAGACACGGCCCAGACACCUACGGGAGGCAGCAGUGGGGAAUAUUGGACAAUGGGCGAAAGCCUGAUCCAGCAAUGCCGCGUGAGUGAUGAAGGCCUUAGGGUUGUAAAGCUCUUUUACCCGGGAUGAUAAUGACAGUACCGGGAGAAUAAGCUCCGGCUAACUCCGU
rnacentral:rRNA from 1 species